rnacentral:rRNA from 1 species
GAUGAACGCUGGCGGCGUGCCUAACACAUGCAAGUCGAACGGAGAUUACGGACGGAAGUUUUCGGAUGGAAGCCUGUAAUUCUUAGUGGCGGACGGGUGAGUAACGCGUGGGCAACCUGCCCUAUACAGGGGGAUAGCAGCUGGAAACGGCUGGUAAGACCGCAUAAGUCGGUUAAAUCGCAUGAUUUGAUCGGGAAAUGAGCAAUCAGGUAUAGGAUGGGCCCGCGUCCGAUUAGCCAGUUGGCAGGGUAAAAGCCUACCAAAGCGACGAUCGGUAGCCGGACUGAGAGGUCGGACGGCCACAUUGGGACUGAGACACGGCCCAAACUCCUACGGGAGGCAGCAGUGGGGGAUAUUGCACAAUGGAGGAAACUCUGGUGCAGCGACGCCGCGUGAGUGAAGAAGUAUUUCGGUAUGUAAAGCUCUAUCAACAGGGAAGAUGAUGACGGUACCUGACUAAGAAGCCCCGGCUAACUACGUG